rnacentral:tRNA from 1 species
GACAGUUUAGCAAAGUGGUUACUGCGAUUGAUUCGAAUCAUCAAUUCCUCUUUGAGGGCACAGGUUCGAAUCCUGUAACUGUCG